rnacentral:rRNA from 1 species
AAUCAACGCUGGCGGCGUGCCUCAGACAUGCAAGUCGAACGCGAAAGUUUCCUUCGGGAGACAAGUAGAGUGGCGCACGGGUGAGUAACACGUAGGUAAUCUACCUUCGGAUGGGGAAUAACAAUCGGAAACGGUUGCUAAUACCGCAUAAUGCAGCGGCACCUAAAUGGUGACAGUUGUUAAAGCGGGGGAUCGAAAGACCUCGCGUCUGAAGAGGAGCCUGCGGCGGAUUAGCUAGUUGGUAAGGUAAUGGCUUACCAAGGCGACGAUCCGUAACCGGCCUGAGAGGGCGGUCGGUCACACUGACACUGACAUACGGGUCAGACUCCUACGGGAGGCAGCAGUCGGGAAUCUUGCGCAAUGGGCGAAAGCCUGACGCAGCGACGCCGCGUGAGGGAUGACGGCC